GUGGGGAAUCUUAGACAAUGGGGGAAACCCUGAUCUAGCCAUGCCGCGUGAGCAAUGAAGGCCUUAGGGUUGUAAAGCUCUUUCAGCUGGGAAGAUAAUGACUGUACCAGCAGAAGAAGCCCCGGCUAACUCCGUGCCAGCAGCCGCGGUAAUACGGAGGGGGCUAGCGUUGUUCGGAAUUACUGGGCGUAAAGCGCACGUAGGCGGACCGGAAAGUCAGAGGUGAAAUCCCAGGGCUCAACCUUGGAACUGCCUUUGAAACUCCUGGUCUUGAGGUCGAGAGAGGUGAGUGGAAUUCCGAGUGUAGAGGUGAAAUUCGUAGAUAUUCGGAGGAACACCAGUGGCGAAGGCGGCCACCUGGCUCGGUUCUGACGCUGAGGCGCGACAGCGUGGGGAGCAAACAGGAUUAGAUACCCCGGUAGUCC
rnacentral:rRNA from 1 species